rnacentral:rRNA from 1 species
UACGGAGGAUCCAAGCGUUAUCCGGAUUUACUGGGUUUAAAGGGUGCGUAGGCGGGUUGAUAAGUCAGUGGUGAAAUCCUGCAGCUUAACUGCAGAAUUGCCAUUGAUACUAUCAGUCUUGAGUACAGUUGAGGUGGGUGGAAUUUGUCAUGUAGCGGUGAAAUGCAUAGAGAUGACAAAGAACUCCGAUCGCGAAGGCAGCUCACCAAACUGUAACUGACGCUGAGGCACGAAAGCGUGGGGAU